rnacentral:rRNA from 1 species
CGGACGGGUGAGUAAUGUAUGGGGAUCUGCCUGAUGGCGGGGGAUAACUACUGGAAACGGUAGCUAAUACCGCAUAAUGUCUGCGGACCAAAGCGGGGGACCUCCGGGCCUCGCGCCAUCAGAUGAACCCAGAUGGGAUUAGCUAGUAGGUGGGGUAACGGUUCACCUAGGCGACGAUCCCUAGCUGGUCUGAGAGGAUGACCAGCCACACUGGAACUGAGACACGGUCCAG